rnacentral:rRNA from 1 species
UACGGAGGGUGCAAGCGUUGUCCGGAUUUAUUGGGUUUAAAGGGUGCGUAGGCGGCUUGAUAAGUCCGUGGUGAAAGCCAACAGCUCAACUGUUGAACUGCCAUGGAUACUGUCAGGCUUGAGUACAGACGAGGUAGGCGGAAUGGAUCGUGUAGCGGUGAAAUGCAUAGAUACGAUCCAGAACACCGAUUGCGUAGGCAGCUUACUAGGCUGUAACUGACGCUGAGGCACGAAAGCGUGGGGAGCGAACAGG